rnacentral:lncRNA from 1 species
CGGGUAUGCAUUUCCUUCUCACUAGCACUUUUACUAAGCUUAGCAAUUGAAUCCCACAACAUAGACUAACAGAAAUGGUCGGUUGGGAAUCACUUUGGCUUCUAUUUUCCCGGUCUCUGUAUUAUAGGAGCCUGUAGUCCAUUUAGGUGCAUGGUGCAUGUGGUUAUUAUCCGAAAAUAUUGUUGUUUCAAGCAUACAGGGUUCUAAUGAAUUUUUUGUUUGUUCAUCACUCUAUUUUCCACUCUAUUUUGCAGUAAAUUAUAGAGUGGAGUUGGAGAUGCUCUAAAAAUAAUGACUAGCUCAGGUUUAGAUUUUACCAUUAUUCUCAGACGGUCAACUGCUCAAGGUGUCAAAACGGUAUAACAUUCUUAUUAAAGUCGAAACUUCAUGAUGGAGAUGGCUGAGUUAUGUCAAUUGCAUCACUAUAACGGUAGAAAUCUUCGGCAAAGAGAUUAGGCUUAUGUGAUGGUGACCAGUAGUGAAGAUUUUGACAUUUCCAAAAGUGUUCACGUGGAGAUGAGUGUUGAAUUAAUCAUGUCUUUUCGUAAUACUUAUCUCUAAAUUUAUUGUAUUUUGUGGGCAAGAACAAUUUGUACGGUUUAGCCAUUCGAACUUUGAUCAAAUAUCAAAAUGUCGACAAAAAUUUAUUUAGAAUUUUUUUUUCUUUUAAUCUCUUCGCACAACAUGUUAGACUUUGGUUUGCUGAAAAACUGCAGAACAAAUUAAACAAUUUACAUUUUAUAAAAUAGAGA